UCCCCCUUGUGGGGGGCUGUCCCGCUAGAGAAUGUAACUAGCGGCAAGGGUUGCGCUCGUUGCGGGACUUAACCCAACACCUCACGGCACGAGCUGACGACAGCCAUGCAGCACCUGUGGUGGCUCCCUGAGUUUCCCCAAGGUCGUUGCCCUUUCGGGUUUCUACUACCAUCAUGUCAAGCCCUGGUAAGGUUCUUCGCUUAGCAUCGAAUUAAACCACACGCUCCACCGCUUGUGCGGGCCCCCGUCAAUUCUUUUGAGUUUUAGCCUUGCGGCCGUACUCCCCAGGCGGGAUGCUUAUCGCGUUAACUUCGGCACAGGGGGGGUCGAUACCCCCAAUACCUAGCAUCCAUCGUUUAGGGCGUGGACUAC
rnacentral:misc_RNA from 1 species